GUCUUGUAAUUGGAAUGAUGGGAAUCUAAACCCUUCCCAGAGUAUCAAUUGGAGGGCAAGUCUGGUGCCAGCAGCCGCGGUAAUUCCAGCUCCAAUAGCGUAUAUUAAAGUUGUUGCAGUUAAGAAGCUCGUAGUUGAAUUUCUGCCUUAUCAUUAAUUUCGCUUCCGAACGUAAUUUUAUUGAUUUGGCAUCUUCUGGAUUUAUAUUUUUAUUAAUAUUUUUCCAGUAUUUACUUUGAGAAAACUAGAGUGUUUCAAACAGGCUAUUGCCUUGAAUACUACAGCAUGGAAUAAUGAAGUAGGACUUUGGUUCUAUUUUGUUGGUUAUCGAACCAUAGUAAUGGUUAAUAGGAGCAGUUGGGGGCAUUCGUAUUUAACUGUCAGAGGUGAAAUUCUUAGAUUUGUUAAAGACGAACUACUGCGAAAGCAUUUGCCAAGGAUGUUUUC
rnacentral:rRNA from 1 species